GGGUAAGACUUUUUUAACUUGAGC
rnacentral:siRNA from 1 species